rnacentral:lncRNA from 1 species
UUGCACUAAAAAUAACAUAAAUAUAAAUCAAGAUGUCAAUAUUCAUUUCAGUCAAAUUAUGAAUGUAACAAAAUAUAAGAAAACUUAUCAUAAAGUUACAUCAAAUUCCAUAAAUAAAGCAAAGAGAUAAGGUAAUGUUUAACCUUAAGUAAAGAGAAUAUGUACCGCAAAAUCUUGACUGAAACUCGAUUACAAAACCCACUAAUCUUUUGUUUGGUGUGUGGUGUUGGAUUUUGGUAGUGUGAGAUUUUUUUGAGUUUUUUGUCUCUGUACGUCUGAGUGUGUUUAGAUAAAGUAGUAAUCAAAAAAGAAGAAAAUAUGUGAAUGUAUUGAUGGAUUUUUGAAAGAAGAAUAAAAAGAAUGUGUAAGUUUUUUUUAUUUGCUGCGUUUUGGUCGUGGGUUUUUUAGUGUUGCUCUUUCUUUUUUUCCUUUUCUCGUCAAUUGCAGUGUAGUAGUAGUAGUAUAUGUGUGUGUUGUGUUGCUGAUGGGUAGUGGUGUCGUGUGAGUGGGGGGUAGUAUAGGGGUGAGUGUGUGGGAGUUGUGGGAUAUGGAAGGGUAAGUGGGGUGAGGAUAAUGGGUGUUUUUUUAUAAAUUAAAUAUAUACAAAAUUAUAAUAAUAAAAAUAUUAAUUAUUUUGAACUAAUAAAAAAUACUAAAUGGCUAAUUAAAAAAUAUAAUUAAGAAAUACUAGUUUAUUUAUUAAAUCUAAAUUAAAAGAAAAUAUAUAUUUUUUGUAACUUUUCAUUUUUUUUAAGCAAUUAAAAAUAAUACUUACUGUAAAAAGUGAUUCUAUUUUUGUUGAUUUCAAAUAUUUUAAAAUAAAUUUAAUAAAAUAAGAUAAAAGUCAAAAUAUUUAAUUUAGAUUUAUAAAAAUAUUUAAGCUCUAAAAAUGAUGUAAA